AUACGUAGGUGGCAAGCGUUAUCCGGAAUUAUUGGGCGUAAAGAGGGAGCAGGCGGCAGCAAGGGUCUGUGGUGAAAGCCUGAAGCUUAACUUCAGUAAGCCAUAGAAACCAGGCAGCUAGAGUGCAGGAGAGGAUCGCGGAAUUCCAUGUGUAGCGGUGAAAUGCGUAGAUAUAUGGAGGAACACCAGUGGCGAAGGCGACGAUCUGGCCUGCAACUGACGCUCAGUCCCGAAGGCGUGGGGAGCAAAUAGGAUUAGAUACCCUAGUAGUCCACGCCGUAAACGAUGAGUACUAAGUGUUGGAUGUCAAAGUUCAGUGCUGCAGUUAACGCAAUAAGUACUCCGCCUGAGUAGUACGUUCGCAAGAAUGAAACUCAAAGGAAUUGACGGGG
rnacentral:rRNA from 1 species